rnacentral:rRNA from 1 species
AGGGCGCAUGGCGGAUGCCUUGGCUCUCGGAGGCGAUGAAGGACGUGAUAAGCUGCGAUAAGCUUUGGGGAGGUGCAAAUGACCUUUGAUCCAGAGAUUUCCGAAUGGGACAACCCAAUAUCUUGAAGAGGUAUUAUCCAACGUUGUUGGAGGCUAACGCAGGGAACUGAAACAUCUUAGUACCUGCAGGAAAAGAAAAUAAACAAUGAUUCCCCCAGUAGUGGCGAGCGAACGGGGAACAGCCCAAACCAUCCAUGUUACGGCAUGGGUGGGGUUGUAGGACUACGCCGUUGCAUGAAGACAUCAGAGAAGAACUUUCUGGAAAGAAAGACCAUAGAGCAUGACAGUUGCGUAUUCGAAUGUUGUCGAAGCAUAGUAGUAUCCUGAGUAGCGCGGAGCACGAGGAAUUCUGCGUGAAUCUGCCGGGACCAUCCGGUAAGGCUAAAUACUCCCGAGAGACCGAUAGUGGACCAGUACCGUGAGGGAAAGGUGAAAAGCACUUCGAACAGAAGAGUGAAACAGUACCUGAAACCGUGCGCCUACAAGCGGUCGGAGCACGAAAGUGUGACGGCGUGCCUUUUGCAUAAUGAACCUACGAGUUACCGUAUCUGGCAAGGUUAAGGGUCACGAGACCUGCAGCCGAAGCGAAAGCGAGUCUGAACAGGGCGUCCAGUCAGUUGCGGUAGACGCGAAACCAAGUGAUCUACCCUUGGCCAGGAUGAAGUCUGGGUAACACCAGAUGGAGGUCCGCACCAAUAAGCGUUGAAAAGCUUCUGGAUGAGCUGAGGGUAGGGGUGAAAGGCUAAUCAAACUUGGAGAUAGCUCGUACUCCCCGAAAUGCAUUUAGGUGCAGCCUUGCGGGUUACUGAUGUGAGGUAGAGCGACUGAUAAGAUGCGAGGGCUUCACCGCCUAUCAAGUCUUGACAAACUCCGAAUGCGCAUCAGUUCUACCGCAGGAGUGAGGGCAUGGGUGCUAAGGUCCGUGCCCGAGAGGAGAAGAAUCCGGACCACCUGCUAAGGUCCCGAAAUGACAGCUAAGUUAAACUAACGAAGUCUGACUGCUAAGACAGCUAGGAUGUUGGCUUGGAAGCAGCCAUUCAUUUAAAGAGUGCGUAACAGCUCACUAGUCGAGGAGUCGGGCGUGGAUAAUAAUCGGGUAUCAAGUUGUCUACCGAAGCAGUGGGAUCAUUAAUAUGAUCGGUAGGGGAGCAUUCCAGUCAGCGUCGAAGGCGUACCGUGAGGUAUUCUGGAGCGUCUGGAAAAGCAAAUGUAGGUAUAAGUAACGAUAAAGGGGGCGGGAAACCCCCUCGCCGAAAGACUAAGGUUUCCUGAUCAACGCUAAUCGGAUCAGGGUCAGUCGGGUCCUAAGGCUCAGCCGAACGGCGAUGCCGAUGGCAGAAACGGUUAAUAUUCCGUUACUACCUUCAGGAGUGACGUGGAGACGCAGUAGUGACAGUGCCGCCAUCUGACGGAAUAGAUGGUUGAAGGGUGUAGGAGUCGAUCAUGGCAGGCAAAUCCACCAUGAGAUCCGAACCUGACAGUAUGCCGCGUCCUUCGGGACAAGGCAAUAGUGCGCGUAAGCAUGCUGCCGAGAAAAUCCGCUAAACUUAAUCCUGCAGGUACCCGUACCGCAAACGGACACACGUAGUCGGGAUGAAUAUUCUAAGGCGCUUGAGUGAUUCACGGUUAAGGAACUAGGCAAACUGACCCUGUAACUUCGGGAUAAAGGGUCCCUACCCUUUUAUGGGAGGGCGCAGAGAAUCGGUCCAGGCAACUGUUUAACAAAAACACAGGGCUGUGCCAAAUCGAAAGAUCCAGUAUACAGCCUGACACCUGCCCGGUGCUGGAAGGUUAAGAGGAGAUGUCAUCGAUAAGAGAAGCGUUGAAUUGAAGCCCCAGUAAACGGCGGCCGUAACUAUAACGGUCCUAAGGUAGCGAAAUUCCUUGUCGGGUAAGUUCCGACCUGCACGAAUGGUGUAAUGAUCCGGACGCUGUCUCAACCGUGAGCUCAGUGAAAUUGUAGUAUCGGUGAAGAUGCCGAUUACCCGCGAUGGGACGAAAAGACCCCGUGAACCUUUACUAUAGCUUAGCAUUGAAUUUGGGCACGCGAUGUGUAGGAUAGGUCGGAGGCUUUGAAGCAGGCACGCCAGUGUUUGUGGAGCCGCUGUUGAAAUACGACCCUUCGUUUGUUUGAGUUCUAACUUCCGGAUAGAAGGACAUUGCUUGGUGGGUAGUUUGACUGGGGUGGUCGCCUCCAAAAGCGUAACGGAGGCUUCUAAAGGUGCCCUCCGGCCGAUUGGUAACCGGCCUUAGAGUGUAAUGGCAUAAGGGCGCUUGACUGGGAGACUGACAAGUCGAUCAGGUAGGAAACUAGAGCAUAGUGAUCCGGUGUUUCCGUAUGGAAGGGACAUCGCUCAAAGGAUAAAAGGUACUCCGGGGAUAACAGGCUGAUCCCUCCCAAGAGCUCAUAUCGACGGAGUGGUUUGGCACCUCGAUGUCGGCUCGUCACAUCCUGGGGCUGGAGAAGGUCCCAAGGGUU